rnacentral:rRNA from 1 species
GUAGGGAAUAUUGGACAAUGGGCGAAAGCCUGAUCCAGCCAUGCCGCGUGGUAGAUGAAGGCCCUCUGGGUUGUAAAUACCUUUUAUCUGGGAAGAAAUAUCUCGUUCUCGAGAAACUGACGGUACCAGAUGAAUAAGCACCGGCUAACUCCGUGCCAGCAGCCGCGGUAAUACGGAGGGUGCAAGCGUUAUCCGGAUUUACUGGGUUUAAAUGGUGCGUAGGCGGAAUUGUAAGUCAGUGGUGAAAGCCCCGAGCUCAACUUGGGAACUGCCAUUGAUACUGCUUUUCUUGAAUACGAUUGAGGUAAGCGGAAUGUUGCAUGUAGCGGUGAAAUGCUUAGAUAUGUUACAGAACACCAAUUGCGAAGGCAGCUUACUAAGUCGUGAUUGACGCUGAGGCACGAAAGCGUGGGUAGCAAACAGGAUUAGAAACCCGAGUAGUCC